rnacentral:siRNA from 1 species
UGGUUAGCAAAGAUUGUCUGCC